rnacentral:sRNA from 1 species
CUGCAGCUGAUGGUGCGUUAGGGAUAGCAGCGGCAUCCUUUUACUUUUAAAAGUAAAUGAUUAAUAACCGUAGAUAAGACUAUACCAAAAUAAGAGUUUUCUAGUCUAAGCAGAUUUAAUUAAAAGUAAAAGAUAUAGUGUAUAGCACGCCCCUUG